rnacentral:rRNA from 1 species
CGUAGGGUGCGAGCGUUAAUCGGAAUUACUGGGCGUAAAGCGUGCGCAGGCGGUUUAGUAAGACAGGCGUGAAAUCCCCGGGCUCAACCUGGGAACUGCGCUUGUGACUGCUAAGCUAGAGUACGGCAGAGGGGGGUGGAAUUCCACGUGUAGCAGUGAAAUGCGUAGAGAUGUGGAGGAACACCAAUGGCGAAGGCAGCCCCCUGGGUCGGUACUGACGCUCAUGCACGAAAGCGUGGGUAGCAAACAGGAUUAGAUACCCUGGUAGUCCACGCCCUAAACGAUGUCAACUAGGUGUUGGGAGGGUAAAACCUUUUAGUACCGGAGCUAACGCGUGAAGUUGACCGCCUGGGGAGUACGGCCGCAAGGUUA